AGAGAGAGAGAGAGAGAGAGAAGAAAGUGCAUGUGUACAUAUGCAUGACUGUACAGGCUCUCCUGUCUCCACCCCCCCCAUCUCCCCCACAGUGCUGAGGCUACAGAAGCACACCGCUGUGCCUGGCUUCUACAUGGGCAUGAGGGAUUUGAACUCAGAUUCCCAUGCUUGCACGGUGAUGGGGGAAGGACAUUGGUUAAUUAUAAUAAAGAAACUGCUUCGGCCCUCAUAGGACAGAAAAUUAGGUAGGCGGAGUAGACAGAAGAGAAUUCUGGGAGAAAGAAGCUUAGUUGAGGAGUCGCCAUGAUGCUCCCACGCCAGACAGAUCCUCCCUGCCUACACUAAGCUCUCUCAGCAGUCCUCCAGCGAGGAGCAAACUAUGCUGCAACACUGAUCUAAGAGACAAACGAAGACGGCAGGAGAGUCUGCACCACAUUCAGCAUGGAGAGUCUGUGUUUACUGAAGUGGCUGGAGAAGGACACACAGUUACAGAUUCCUUUUCCCCAGCACCAGAUGCCUGAACUGCUAUGAUAUUCGUGAACUUGAUCACUGUCGAAUUCACAGCUAUCAUCCUGAACCAUUAAAGUGGCCAAUCAUGAAGGGAACCCAUAUUUGACUUGAGCAAAGAAGUUGGUUAGCUUCAGAAAGAAAAACAGAUUCUAAAUGCAUACAGCAUGUCUGUUUCAGCAAUGGGUGCUGCUCAGAGCCAUUCUUCUGAAAGGAGCAGUUAUGAAUCAGUUACCUUCUUUUCCAGAACACAUUUCUAUUUGAGAAAACCACAAAUGAACUGGAAAACACCUGCUCGACAGUGGAUGGGCCGCAAGGGUCCGGAUGAGCUGUGUUCUGUCAUUCCACAUGACUGACAGCAUUUGAGGUCAGCGAUUAAAAUGCUAUCAAAUGAAAACCAGACUUCUGAGAAACUGUAUUUGUCCUCAGUUUCCCCAUGUGAAAGACUUUCAAUGCGGCUGGUGCAGAUGGUCACAUGACUUUUGAUACUGCAUCAUUCGAUAUGCUGACAUUGGGAUACUAUAUUAAUUAAGAAACAACUAUGUCAGGGCAGGAGAGAUGGCUCAGCAGUUGAGAGCCCUGGCUGCUUUUUCAGAGGACCUGAGUUCAAUUUCCAGCACCCACAAGUAUCUAUAACUCCAGUUCCAGAGGAUCUGACACCUUCACACCAAUGCACAUAAAAUAAAUUAAAAAAAGAAACAAAUAUGUCUUCAGUGAGACAUGUACGACUAAAACACCACACACGUGGACCAGUGCAUGCAACUAACAACAGAUCUUUUUUUUUAAAGCUAUACAUCUUUCCUUUUUUUUAAAUAUUUAUUUAUUUAUUUAUUUAUUUAUUUAUUUAUUUAUUUAUUUAUUUAUUAUGUAUACAAUAGUCUGUCAGUGUGUAUGCCUGCAGGCCAGAAGAGGGCACCAGACCACAUUACAGAUGGUUGUGAGCCACCAUGUGGUUGCCGGGAAUUGAACUCAGGACCUUUGGAAGAGCAGGCAAUGCUCUUAACCGCUGAGCCAUCUCUCCAGCCCAACAACAGAUCUUAACAGGAUACAAAUUCCUCAGUGUAACAAGAUUGGAGAUAUUACUAACUGUUAAGUUUUGGUGUAUUAUCAAACGAUGUCUACAAUUAUCCGUAAAACUCCUCAUCUCUCUUUUCCAACUAUAUAUUUGUGUGAGUUCAGACUCUUUCCCACCAAACAAUACUCAAACAAAUAACAGCACACUAUACUGACAGCAGGACCAGCUAUGGCCUCCCCACUCUCUCACAUUGGUGCAGACACUGCAGAGAUAUGAAGUACGGGGCGGGAGGGAAGCUGAGUGAGAAUGGAAGGCACCAUGUACAACAUGAAACCCAAAGAAUAGAUUUAACUAAAAUAAAAUAUGCUGGGUGGUAGUGGCACACACCUUUAAUCCUAGCCCCACAGAGACAGAGGCAGGUAGAUCUCUGGGUUUGAGGCCAGCCUGGUCUACAGGAUGAGUUCCAGGACAGCCAGGGGUACACACAGAAAACCUGUCUUGAAUAACCCCCCCAAAAAAAGAAAAGAAAAAUCAUGAUGUUUGUCUGACUAAUAUUUCAUUUUUAAAAAAUAGUUAUUUUCAUAAAAAUCCAUUAAUACAUACAUAAUAGCUACCUUAAAGAAUGAAAAGGUAUUAAUAAAUAUUAAUAUAAAUUUCAAUAUUUUAUAAUUUUAUGUUUAGUAUUCUCAUAAAUUUCUUUUAAGCAAAGAUUUUCUUUUUUUAAUUUAUGUGUAAGGGUGCGUGGGAGAGCCUGCAGGGACCAGAAGAGGGUGUUAGAUUCCCCUGGAGGUGAAGUCACAGGUGGUCAUGAGUUGCUGGACGCUGGGAACUAGCCCUCUGGAAGAGCAGCAAGUACAAGAGCCACCUCUCCAGCCCCUGCAUCCAUUUCUAAUACUGCAGACAUCCACAGACAGACCCUAUACAAGGCAAACCUUUUAGGGUCCUCUUUGUGCAUGUGAAUGAGUUCUAAGAAUAAAAAGAUUAAAAUCCCGAUACUCAAGUACCACAGAUCAAGAAAAAAAAAAAAAAAAACCCUUUUCAGGGGUCAUAGGGUAUUUAGCUCUGUGGUCCAUAAAGUCUCUGUGGUUCCUGCUGAACUUGGUCACUAUACUGCAAAUGCACAGGUAAGACAGACUGCACACAUGAUACAUCAAUAAAACUUUUUUUAAAAAAACUAGAAACGCAACCCUCUCUUUGUUUCACCAUGCAAUCACACUACAGUUGGCUGAGUCUGAACUUGUAAAACUCAGAUCAUGCCGCUGCAGCCACAUUUUUUCUAUCUUUCUGCCGUCUUUGAGAUGUCCAGUCUCUGGGAUCUCCUGUCUCCUUUGUCGUGAAUCUUCCCCCGUUUCUGGCACGCUCUCCACUGGUGCCCUCAUGGGCACACCUUUCUUUACACCCUGCUUAGCAAUGCAGGCCUUGCCAGCUGGGGGAACAGGCCUGCGAUCUCAGCCACUCAACAAGCCGAGGCCGGGAUUACUAGUCAAGGCCUAUUUUGACUUCAGGGUGAAUUUAAUGCUGGCUUGGGCAACUGAGUGAGACCCUCUCUCAAAAUAAGAAGAAAAAGGGCUGAGGCGAUAGCUCAGCAAUAGAAUACUUGUUUACUGUUAACAAAAUAGUGUGGCCUUCCCUGUUCAUUUCUACCCACAGCGCUCAUCAUUUCCCUAAAGUAAUAAUAAUAGUAAUAUGUAUAUAUGUUUAUAUAUAUACACAAUAUAUAUAAAAUGAAAAAAUUAUACUAUAUAUAUAUAAAAUCUUUAAAGAUUUGUUCUGUUGUUUUUAUUUAUUUAUUUACUGUAAUGUGUGUGUUCUGGGCAUGUGCAGGUAGAGUUCAGAGGCCAACUUUUGGGAACCAAUUCUUUCCUUCUACCAUGGAGUCUGAGGCGUGAACUCAGGUCAUCAGGUUUGUGGGGCAAGUGCUUUUGCCUGCUGGGCUACCUUGCUGCCCCGGUCUGGCCCACUCAGCUAUUCCCAGCACACAGACCACUACAUGGCAUUGGCUGCCAUGACUGCAGCAGCAUGAACUGAGAUACAAACUCUAGGUGCAUCUGAAUUAUUUCAUUCACACAGUUAACUACAACAUAUACAAUAUGGACGGGUAUGCUUCAGCCACUUAAUGCAAAUGACCA